rnacentral:rRNA from 1 species
UGGCGGACGGGUGAGUAACGCGUGGGUAACCUGCCUCACACUGGGGGACAACAGUUAGAAAUGACUGCUAAUACCGCAUAAGCGCACAGGAUCGCAUGGUCCGGUGUGAAAAACUCCGGUGGUGUGAGAUGGACCCGCGUUUGAUUAGCUAGUUGGUGGGGUAACGGCCUACCAAGGCGACGAUCAAUAGCCGACCUGAGAGGGUGACCGGCCACAUUGGGACUGAGACACGGCCCAA